UUGUUAGAAAGUGCAACAAUUAAAUUUAAAAGUAUUCGUGAAAAUGAUAUUUGAUUAGUUAAAAAUACUUUAUUACUGAUUAUUUAACUAAAAAUACAGUGUUUUUCUCUGAUUCGUUAGAAAGUGCAACCGUAAGCAAAUCCACCUUUAUCUAUAAAAAAAAAAACAAGAGAAAAGCAUAUCCGUAUAUAAAAUCCAA
rnacentral:lncRNA from 1 species